AUUGAACGCUGGCGGCAUGCUUUACACAUGCAAGUCGAACGGUAACAGGUUAAGCUGACGAGUGGCGAACGGGUGAGUAAUGCAUCGGAACGUGCCCGGUCGUGGGGGAUAACGCAGCGAAAGCUGCGCUAAUACCGCAUACGAUCUGAGGAUGAGAGCGGGGGACCGUAAGGCCUCGCGCGAUCGGAGCGGCCGAUGUCAGAUUAGGGAGUUGGUGGGGUAAAGGCUCACCAAGCCAACGAUCUGUAGCUGGUCUGAGAGGACGACCAGCCACCCUGGGACUGAGACACGGCCCAGACUCCUACGGGAGGCAGCAGUGGGGAAUUUUGGACAAUGGGCGAAAGCCUGAUCCAGCAAUGCCGCGUGCAGGAAGAAGGCCUUCGGGUUGUAAACUGCUUUUGUACGGAGCGAAAAGGUCUCCUCUAAUACAGGGGGCUCAUGACGGUACCGUAAGAAUAAGCACCGGCUAACUACGUGCCAGCCGCCGCCGUAA
rnacentral:rRNA from 1 species